AUUAGGUUUUGGUGCUAGGAUAAGGUUUAAGGUUUUUGGCGUUAGGGUUAAAAUCACUGUCCAAAACCUUUGUAGGAACUCCUUCCCAACCUUUUGGAGUUAGUUAAACCAAAAAAAAAAUUGAAAUAUGAAAAAGAAAUAUUUGGGGUGUUCGGGCUUCCUGAAGGUAAUACCCAGGUAUUAGGUUAUGGGGCUUUGGUAAGGUUUAAGGUUUUUGGCAUUAUGGUUAAAAUCACUGUCCAAAACCUUUGUAGGAACUCUUUUCCAACCUUUUGGAGUUAGUUAGACCUAAAAAAAACGAAAAAUGAAAAAAAAAUAUUUGGGGUGUUCGGGCUUCCUGAUGGUAAUACCCGGGUAUUAGGUUAUGGGGCUAGGGUAAGGUUUAAGGAUUUUGGCGUUAGAGUUAAAAUCACUGUCCAAAACCUUUGUAGGAACUCUUUUCCAACCUUUUGGAGUUAGUUAGACCAAAAUAAAACAAAAAAUGAAAAAAAAAUAUUUGGGGUUUUGGGGCUUCCUGAAGGUAAUACCCGGGUAUUAGGUUAUGGGGCUAGGGUAAGGUUUUUGGCGUUAGGGUUAAAAUCACUGUCCAAAACCUUUGUAGGAACUCUUUUCCAACCUUUUGGAGUUAGUUACACCAAAAAAAAUAUUGUAAAAUGAAAAAGAAAUAUUUGGGGUUUUCGGGCUUUCUGACGGUAAUACCCUGGUAUAAGGUUAUGGGACUAAUGUAAGGUUUAAGGUUUUUGGCGUUAGGGUUAAAAUCACUGUCAAAACCUUUGUAGGAACUCUUUUCCAACCUUUUGGAGUUAGACCAAAAAAAGAAAAAAAAAAGGAACAAGAAAUAUUUCGGGUGUUCGGGCUUCCUGAAGGUAAUACCCAGGUAUUAGGUUAUGGGGCUUUGGUAAGGUUUAAGGUUUUUGGCAUUAUGGUUAAAAUCACUGUCCAAAACCUUUGUAGGAACUCUUUUCCAACCUUUUGGAGUUAGUUAGACCUAAAAAAAACGAAAAGUGAAAAAAAAAUAUUUGGGGUGUUCGGGCUUCCUGAUGGUAAUACCCGGGUAUUAGGUUAUGGGGCUAGGGUAAGGUUUAAGGAUUUUGGCGUUAGAGUUAAAAUCACUGUCCAAAACCUUUGUAGGAACUCUUUUCCAACCUUUUGGAGUUAGUUAGACCAAAAUAAAACAAAAAAUGAAAAAAAAUUUUUGGGGUUUUGGGGCUUCCUGAAGGUAAUACCCGGGUAUUAGGUUAUGGGGCUAGGGUAAGGUUUUUGGCGUUAGGGUUAAAAUCACUGUCCAAAACCUUUGUAGUAACUCUUUUCCAACCUUUUGGAGUUAGUUACACCAAAAAAAAAAUUGUAAAAUGAAAAAGAAAUAUUUGGGGUGUUUGGGCUUCCUGAAGGUAAUUCCCGGGUAUUAGGUUAUGGGGCUAGUGAAAGGUUUCAGGUUUUUGGUGUAAGCGUUAAAAUCACUGUCCAAAACCUUUGUAGGAACUCUUUUCCAACCUUUUGGAGUUAGUUAGACCAGAAAAAAAAUGAAAAAUGAAAAAAAAAAUAUUUGGGGUUUUCGGGCUUUCUGAAGGUAACACCCGGGUAUUAGGUUUUGGGGCUAGGGUAAGGUUUAAGUUUUUUGGUGUUAGGGUUAAAAUCACUGUCCAAAACCUUUGUAGGAACUUCUUUCCAACCUUUUGGAGUUAGUUAAACCAAAAAAAAAAUUGUAAAAUGAAAAAGAAAUAUUUGGGGUGUUCGGGCUUCCUGAAGGUAAUACCCAGGUAUUAGGUUAUGGGGCUUUGGUAAGGUUUAAGGUUUUUGGCAUUAUGGUUAAAAUCACUGUCCAAAACCUUUGUAGGAACUCUUUUCCAACCUUUUGGAGUUAGUUAGACCUAAAAAAAAACGAAAAAUGAAAAAAAAAUGUUUGGGGUGUUCGGGCUUCCUGAAGGUAAUACCCGGGUAUUAGGUUAUGGGGCUUGGGUAAGGUUUAAGGUUUUUGGCGUUAGGGUUAAAAUCACUGUCCAAAACCUUUGUAGGAACUCUUUUCCAAUGUUUUGGAGUUAGUUAGACCCGAAAGAAAUGAAAAAUGAAAAAAAAAAAUUUGGGGUUUUCGGGCUUUCUGAAGGUAAUACCCGGGUUUUAGGUUAUGGGGCUAGGGUAAGGUUUAAGGUUUUUGGCGUUAGGGUUAAAAUCCCUGUCCAAAACCUUUGUAGGAACUAUUUUCCAACCUUUUGGAGUUAGUUAGACAAAAAUAAAACAAAAAAUGAAAAAAAAAUAUUUGGGGUGUUCGGGCUUCCUGAAGGUAAUACCCGGGUAUUAGGUUUUGGGGCUAGGGUAAGGUUUUUGGCGUUAGGGUUAAAAUCACUGUCCAAAACCUUUGUAGGAACUCCUUUCCAACCUUUUGGAGUUAGUUAAACCAAAAAAAAAAGAAAAAGGAACAAGAAAUAUUUGGGGUGUUCGGUCUUCCUGAAGGUAAUACCGGUAAUGGGGCUAGGGUAAGGUUUAAAUGUUUUUGGAGUAAGGGUUAAAAUCACUGUCCAAAACCUUUGUAGGAACUCUUUUCCAACCUUUUGGAGUUAGUUAGACCGAAAAGAAAUCAAAAAUAAAAAAACAUAUUUGGGGUGUUCGGGCUUCGUGAAUGUAAUACCCAGGUAUCAGUGUAAUCAGGCUAGGAUCAGGUUUAAGGUUUUUGGCGUAAGGGUUAAAAUCCCUGUCCAAAACCUUUGUAGGAACUCUUUUCCAACCUUUUGGAGUUAGUUACACCAAAAAUGAACAAAAAAUGAAAAAAAAAUAUUUGGGGUGUUCGGUCUUCCUGAAGGUAUGAGAUUAUGGGGCUAUGGAAAGGUUUAAUGUUUUUGGCGUUAGGGUUAAAAUCACUGUCCAAAACCUUUUUAGGAACAUGUUUCAGACCUUAUGGAGUUAGUUAGACCAAAAAAAAAUUGUAAAAUGAAAAAGAAAUAUUUGGGGUGUUUGGGCUUCCUGAAGGUAAUACCCGGGUAUUAGGUUUUGGAGCUAGGGUAAGGUUUAAGGUUUUUGGCAUCAUGGUUAAAAUCACUGUCCAAAACCUUUGUAGGAACUCUUUUCCAACCUUUUGGAGUUAGUUAGACCAAAAAAAAAAGGAAAGGAAAAAUAAAUAUUUGGGGUGUUCGGGCUUCCUGAAGGCAAUACCCAGGUAUUAGGUUAUGGGGCUAGGGUCGGGUUUAAGGUUUUUGGCGUGAGGGUUAAAAUCCCUGUCCAAAACCUUUGUAGGAACUCUUUUCCAACCUUUUGGAGUUAGGUAGACAAAAAUAAAAUGAAAAAUGAAAAAAAAAAUAUUUGGGGUUUUCGGGCUUUCUGAAGGUAACACCCGGGUAUUAGGUUUUGGGGCUAGGGUAAGGUUUAAGUUUUUUGGCGUAAGGGUUAAAAUCACUGUCCAAAACCUUUGUAGGAACUCCUUUCCAACCUUUUGGAGUUAGUUACACCAAAAAUAAACGAAAAAUGAAAAAAAAAUAUUUGGGAUGUUCGGUCUUCCUGAAGGUAUUAGAUUAUGGGGCUAUGGAAAGGUUUAAUGUUUUUGGCGUUAGGGUUAAAAUCACUGUCCAAAACCUUUGUAGGAACUCUUUUCCAACCUUUUGGAGUUAGUUAGACCAAAAUAAAACAAAAAAUGAAAAAAAAAAUAUUUGGGGUUUUCGGGCUUUCUGAAGGUAACACCCGGGUAUUAGGUUUUGGGGCUAGGGUAAGGUUUAAGUUUUUUGGCGUAAGGGUUAAAAUCACUGUCCAAAACCUUUGUAGGAACUCCUUUCCAACCUUUUGGAGUUAGUUAAACCAAAAAAAAAAUUUGUAAAAUGCAAAAAAAAUAUUUGGGGUGUUCGGUCUUCCUGAAGGUAAUUCCCCGGUAUUAGGUUAUGGGGCUUUGGUAAGGUUUAAGGUUUUUGGCAUUAUGGUUAAAAUCACUGUCCAAAACCUUUGUAGGAACUCUUUUCCAAUGUUUUGGAGUUAGUUAGACCCGAAAGAAAUGAAAAAUGAAAAAAAAAAAUUUGGGGUUUUCGGGCUUUCUGAAGGUAAUACCCGGGUUUUAGGUUAUGGGGCUAGGGUAAGGUUUAAGGUUUUUGGCGUUAGGGUUAAAAUCCCUGUCCAAAACCUUUGUAGGAACUCUUUUCCAACCUUUUGGAGUUAGUUAGACAAAAAUAAAACAAAAAAUGAAAAAAAAAAUAUUUGGGGUUUUCGGGCUUUCUGAAGGUAAUACCCUGGUAUAAGGUUUUGGGACUAAUGUAAGGUUUAAGGUUUUUGGCGUAAGGGUUAAAAUCACUGUCCAAAACCUUUGUAGGAACUCCUUUCCAACCUUUUGGAGUGAGUUAAACCAAAAAAAAAAAUUGUAAAAUGAAAAAAAAAUAUUUGGGGUGUUCGGGCUUUCUGACGGUAAUACCCUGGUAUAAGGUUAUGGGACUAAUGUAAGGUUUAAGGUUUUUGGCGUUAGGGUUAAAAUCACUGUCAAAACCUUUGUAGGAACUCUUUUCCAACCUUUUGGAGUUAGACCAAAAAAAGAAAAAAAAAAGGAACAAGAAAUAUUUCGGGUGUUCGGGCUUCCUGAAGGCAAUAGCCGGGUAUUAGGUCAUGGGGCUAGGGUAAGGUUAAAGGUUUUUGGCGUUAGGGUUAAAAUCACUGUCCAAAACCUUUGUAGGAACUCUUUUCCAACCUUUUGGAGUUAGUUACACCAAAACAAAAAAACAAAAAAUGAAGAAAAAAAUAUUUGGGGUGUUCGGUCUUCCUGAAGGUUAUACCCGGGUAUUAGGUUAUGGGGCUAGGGUAAGGUUUUUGGCGUUAGGGUUAAAAUCACUGUCCAAAACCUUUGUAGGAACUCUUUUCCAACCUUUUGGAGUUAGUUAGACCGAAAAGAAAUCAAAAAUAAAAAAACAUAUUUGGGGUGUUCGGGCUUCCUGAAUGUAAUACCCAGGUAUCAGGGUAAUCAGACUAGGGUCAGGUUUAAGGUUUUUGGCGUAAGGGUUAAAAUCACUGUCCAAAACCUUUGUACGAACUCUUUUCCAACCUUUUGGAGUUAGUUACACCAAAAAUGAACAAAAAAUGAAAAAAAAUAUUUGGGGUGUUCGGUCUUCCUGAAGAUAUUAGAUUAUGGGGCUAUGGAAAGGUUUAAUGUUUUUGGCGUUAGGGUUAAAAUCACUGUCCAAAACCUUUUUAGGAACAUGUUUCAGACCUUAUGGAGUUAGUUAGACCAAAAAAAAAAUUGUAAAAUGAAAAAGAAAUAUUUGGGGUGUUUGGGCUUCCUGAAGGUAAUACCCGGGUAUAAGGUUAUGGGGCUAGGGUAAGAUUUAAGGUUUUUGGCGUUAGGGUUAAAAUCACUGUCCAAAACCUUUGUAGGAACUCUUUUCCAACCUUUUGGAGUUAGUUAGACCCAAAAAAAAUGAAAAAUGAAAAAUAAAAUAUUUGGGGUUUUGGGCUUCCUGAAGGUAAUACCCGGGUAUUAGGUUUUGGGGCUAGGGUAAGGUUUAAGGUUUUUGGCGUUAGGGUUAAAAUCACUGUCCAAAACCUUUGUAGGAAUACUUUUCCAACCUUUUUGAGUUAGUUAGACCAAAAAAAAAAAGGAAAGGAAAAAGAAAUAUUUGGGGUGUUCGGGCUUCCUGAAGGCAAUACCCAGGUAUUAGGUAAUGGGGCUAGGGUCGGGUUUAAGGUUUUUGGCGUGAGGGUUAAAAUCCCUGUCCAAAACCUUUGUAGGAACUCUUUUCCAACCUUUUGGAGUUCGUUAGACCAAAAUAAAAUGAAAAAUGAAAAAAAAAAUAUUUGGGGUUUUUCGGGCUUUCUGAAGGUAACACCUGGGUAUUAGGUUUUGGGGCUAGGGUAAGGUUUAAGUUUUUUGGCGUAAGGGUUAAAAUCACUGUCCAAAACCUUUGUAGGAACUCUUUUCCAACCUUUUGGAGUUAGUUAAACCAAAAAAAAAAUUGUAAAAUGAAAAAGAAAUAUUUGGGGUGUUCGGGCUUCCUGAAGGUAAUACCCAGGUAUUAGGUUUGGGGCUUUGGUAAGGUUUAAGGUUUUUGGCAUUAUGUUUAAAAUCACUGUCCAAAACCUUUGUAGGAACUCUUUUCCAACCUUUUGGAGUUAGUUAGACCAAAAUAAAACAAAAAAUGAAAAAAAAAUAUUUGGGGUGUUCGGUCUUCCUGAAGGUAAUACCCGGGUAUUAGGUUAUGGGGCUAGGGUAAGGUUUUUGGCGUUAUGGUUAAAAUCACUGUCCAAAACCUUUGUAGGAACUCUUUUCCAACCUUUUGGAGUUAGUUAGACCAAAAUAAAACAAAAAGUGAAAAAAAAAUAUUUGGGGUGUUCGGUCUUCCUGAAGGUAAUACCCGGGUAUUAGGCUAUGGGGCUAGGGUAAGGUUUUUGGCGUUAUGGUUAAAAUCACUGUCCAAAACCUUUGUAGGAACUCUUUUCCAACCUUUUGGAGUUAGUUACACCAAAAAAAAAAUUGUAAAAUGAAAAAGAAAUAUUUGGGGUAUUUGGGCUUCCUGAAGGUAAUACUCGGGUAUAAGGUUAUGGGGCUAGUGAAAGGUUUCAGGUUUUUGGCGUAAGGGUUAAAAUCACUGUCCAAAACCUUUGUAGGAACUCUUUUCCAACCUUUUGGAGUUAGUUAGACCAGAAAAAAAAUGAAAAAUGAAAAAAAAAAUAUUUGGGGUUUUCGGGCUUUCUGAAGGUAACACCCGGGUAUUAGGUUUUGGGGCUAGGGUAAGGUUUAAGUUUUUUGGCGUUAGGGUUAAAAUCACUGUCCAAAACCUUUGUAGGAACUUCUUUCCAACCUUUUGGAGUUAGUUAAACCAAAAAAAAAAUUGUAAAAUGAAAAAGAAAUAUUUGGGGUGUUCGGGCUUCCUGAAGGUAAUACCCAGGUAUUAGGUUAUGGGGCUUUGGUAAGGUUUAAGGUUUUUGGCAUUAUGGUUAAAAUCACUGUCCAAAACCUUUGUAGGAACUCUUUUCCAACCUUUUGGAGUUAGUUAGACCUAAAAAAAACGAAAAAUGAAAAAAAAAUGUUGGGGUGUUCGGGCUUCCUGAAGGUAUUAGGUUCUGGGGCUAGGGUAAGGUUUAAGGUUUUUGGCGUUAGGGUUAAAAUCCCUGUCCAAAACCUUUGUAGGAACUCUUUUCCAACCUUUUGGAGUUAGUUAGACCAAAAUAAAACAAAAAAUGAAAAAAAAAUAUUUGGGAUGUUCGGUCUUCCUGAAGGUAAUACCUGGGUAUUAGGUUAUGGGGCUAGGGUAAGGUUUUUGGCAUUAGGUUAUGGGGCUAGGGUAAGGUUUUUGGCGUUAGGGUUAAAAUCACUGUCCAAAACCUUUUUAGGAACUCUUUUCCAACCUUUUGGAGUUAGUUACACCAACAAAAAAAAAUUGUAAAAUGAAAAAGAAAUAUUUGGGGUGUUUGGGCUUCCUGAAGGUAAUACCCGGGUAUUAGGUUAAGGGGCUAGUGAAAGGUUUCAGGUUUUUGGCGUAAGGGUUAAAAUCACUGUCCAAAACCUUUGUAGGAACUCUUUUCCAACCUUUUGGAGUUAGUUAGAUCAGAAAAAUAAUGAAAAAUGAAAAAAAAAAUAUUUGGGGUUUUCGGGCUUUCUGAAGGUAACACCCAGGUAGUAGGUUUUGGGGCUAGGGUAAGGUUUAAGUUUUUUGGCGUUAGGGUUAAAAUCACUGUCCAAAACCUUUGUAGGAACUCCUUUCCAACCUUUUGGAGUUAGUUAAACCAAAAAAAAAAUUGUAAAAUGAAAAAGAAAUAUUUGGGGUGUUCGGGCUUCCUGAAGGUAAUACCCAGGUAUUAGGUUAUGGGGCUUUGGUAAGGUUUAAGGUUUUUGGCAUUAUGGUUAAAAUCACUGUCCAAAACCUUUGUAGGAACUCUUUUCCAACCUUUUGGAGUUAGUUAGACCUAAAAAAAACGAAAAAUGAAAAAAAAAUUUUGGGGGUGUUCGGGCUUCCUGAAGGUAAUACCCAGGUAUUAGGCUAUGGGGCUAGGGUAAGGUUUUUGGCGUUAGGGUUAAAAUUACUGUCCAAAACCUUUGUAGGAACUCUUUUCCAACCUUUUGGAGUUAGUUACACCAAAAAAAAAAUUGUAAAAUGAAAAAGAAAUAUUUGGGGUGUUUGGGCUUCCUGAAGGUAAUACUCGGGUAUUAGGUUAUGGGGCUAAUGAAAGGUUUCAGGUUUUUGGCGUAAGGGUUAAAAUCACUGUCCAAAACCUUUGUAGGAACUUCUUUCCAACCUUUUGGAGUUAGUUAAACCAAAAAAAAAAUUGUAAAAUGAAAAAGAAAUAUUUGGGGUGUUCGGGCUUCCUGAAGGUAAUACCCAGGUAUUAGGUUAUGGGGCUUUGGUAAGGUUUAAGGUUUUUGGCAUUAUGGUUAAAAUCACUGUCCAAAACCUUUGUAGGAACUCUUUUCCAACCUUUUGGAGUUAGUUAGACCUAAAAAAAACGCAAAAUGAAAAAAAAAUGUUGGGGUGUUCGGGCUUCCUGAAGGUAAUACCCAGGUAUUAGGCUAUGGGGCUAGGGUAAGGUUUUUGGCGUUAGGGUUAAAAUUACUGUCCAAAACCUUUGUAGGAACUCUUUUCCAACCUUUUGGAGUUAGUUACACCAAAAAAAAAAUUGUAAAAUGAAAAAGAAAUAUUUGGGGUGUUUGGGCUUCCUGAAGGUAAUACUCGGGUAUUAGGUUAUGGGGCUAAUGAAAGGUUUCAGGUUUUUGGCGUAAGGGUUAAAAUCACUGUCCAAAACCUUUGUAGGAACUUCUUUCCAACCUUUUGGAGUUAGUUAAACCAAAAAAAAAAUUGUAAAAUGAAAAAGAAAUAUUUGGGGUGUUCGGGCUUCCUGAAGGUAAUACCCAGGUAUUAGGUUAUGGGGCUUUGGUAAGGUUUAAGGUUUUUGGCAUUAUGGUUAAAAUCACUGUCCAAAACCUUUGUCGGAACUCUUUUCCAACCUUUUGGAGUUAGUUAGACCUAAAAAAAACGAAAAAUGAAAAAAAAAUGUUGGGGUGUUCGGGCUUCCUGAAGGUAUUAGGUUAUGGGGCUAGGGUAAGGUUUAAGGUUUUUGGCGUAAGGGUUAAAAUCACUGUCCAAAACCUUUGUAGGAACUCUUUUCCAACCUUUUGGAGUUAGUUACACCCGAAAGAAAUGAAAAAUGAAAAAAAAAUAUUUGGGGUUUUCUGGCUUUCUGAAGGUAAUACCCGGGUUUUAGGUUACGGGGCUAGGGUAAGGUUUAAGGUUUUUGGCGUUAGGGUUAAAAUCCCUGUCCAAAACCUUUGUAGGAACUCUUUUCCAACCUUUUGGAGUUAGUUAGACCAAAAUAAAACAAAAAAUGAAAAAAAAAAAAAUUGGGGUGUUCGGUCUUCCUGAAGGUAAUACCCGGGUAUUAGGUCAUGGGGCUAGGGUAAGGUUUUUGGCGUUAGGGUUAAAAUCACUGUCCAAAACCUUUGUAGGAACUCUUUUCCAACCUUUUGGAGUUAGUAAGACCUAAAAAGAACGAAAAAUGAAAAAAAAAUGUUGGGGUGUUCGGGCUUCCUGAAGGUAUUAGGUUCUGGGGCUAGGGUAAGGUUUAAGGUUUUUGGCGUUAGGGUUAAAAUCCCUGUCCAAAACCUUUGUAGGAACUCUUUUCCAACCUUUUGGAGUUAGUUAGACCAAAAUAAAACAAAAAAUGAAAAAAAAAUAUUUGGGAUGUUCGGUCUUCCUGAAGGUAAUACCCGGGUAUUAGGUUAUGGGGCUAGGGUAAGGUUUUUGGCAUUAGGUUAUGGGGCUAGGGUAAGGUUUUUGGCGUUAGGGUUAAAAUCACUGUCCAAAACCUUUUUAGGAACUCUUUUCCAACCUUUUGGAGUUAGUUACACCAAAAAAAAAAAUUGUAAAAUGAAAAAGAAAUAUUUGGGGUGUUUGGGCUUCCUGAAGGUAAUACCCGGGUAUUAGGUUAAGGGGCUAGUGAAAGGUUUCAGGUUUUUGGCGUAAGGGUUAAAAUCACUGUCCAAAACCUUUGUAGGAACUCUUUUCCAACCUUUUGGAGUUAGUUAGAUCAGAAAAAUAAUGAAAAAUGAAAAAAAAAAUAUUUGGGGUUUUCGGGCUUUCUGAAGGUAACACCCAGGUAGUAGGUUUUGGGGCUAGGGUAAGGUUUAAGUUUUUUGGCGUUAGGGUUAAAAUCACUGUCCAAAACCUUUGUAGGAACUCCUUUCCAACCUUUUGGAGUUAGUUAAACCAAAAAAAAAAUUGUAAAAUGAAAAAGAAAUAUUUGGGGUGUUCGGGCUUCCUGAAGGUAAUACCCAGGUAUUAGGUUAUGGGGCUUUGGUAAGGUUUAAGGUUUUUGGCAUUAUGGUUAAAAUCACUGUCCAAAACCUUUGUAGGAACUCUUUUCCAACCUUUUGGAGUUAGUUAGACCUAAAAAAAACGAAAAAUGAAAAAAAAAUUUUGGGGGUGUUCGGGCUUCCUGAAGGUAAUACCCAGGUAUUAGGCUAUGGGGCUAGGGUAAGGUUUUUGGCGUUAGGGUUAAAAUUACUGUCCAAAACCUUUGUAGGAACUCUUUUCCAACCUUUUGGAGUUAGUUACACCAAAAAAAAAAUUGUAAAAUGAAAAAGAAAUAUUUGGGGUGUUUGGGCUUCCUGAAGGUAAUACCCAGGUAUUAGGUUAUGGGGCUUUGGUAAGGUUUAAGGUUUUUGGCAUUAUGGUUAAAAUCACUGUCCAAAACCUUUGUAGGAACUCUUUUCCAACCUUUUGGAGUUAGUUAGACCUAAAAAAAACGAAAAAUGAAAAAAAAUGUUGGGGUGUUCGGGCUUCCUGAAGGUAUUAGGUUAUGGGGCUAGGGUAAGGUUUAAGGUUUUUGGUGUAAGGGUUAAAAUCACUGUCCAAAACCUUUGUAGGAACUCUUUUCCAACCUUUUGGAGUUAGUUACACCCGAAAGAAAUGAAAAAUGAAAAAAAAAUAUUUGGGGUUUUCUGCCUUUCUGAAGGUAAUACCCGGGUUUUAGGUUACGGGGCUAGGGUAAGGUUUAAGGUUUUUGGCGUUAGGGUUAAAAUCCCUGUCCAAAACCUUUGUAGGAACUCUUUUCCAACCUUUUGGAGUUAGUUAGACCAAAAUAAAACAAAAAAUGAAAAAAAAAAAAUUGGGGUGUUCGGUCUUCCUGAAGGUAAUACCCGGGUAUUAGGUCAUGGGGCUAGGGUAAGGUUUUUGGCGUUAGGGUUAAAAUCACUGUCCAAAACCUUUGUAGGAACUCUUUUCCAACCUUUUGGAGUUAGUUACACCAAAAAAAAAUUGUAAAUUGAAAAAGAAAUAUUUGGGGUGUUUGGGCUUCCUGAAGGUAAUACCCAGGUAUUAGGUUAUGGGGCUUUGGUAAGGUUUAAGGUUUUUGGCAUUAUGGUUAAAAUCACUGUCCAAAACCUUUGUAGGAACUCUUUUCCAACCUUUUGGAGUUAGUUAGACCUAAAAAAAACGAAAAAUGAAAAAAAAAUGUUGGGGUGUUCGGGCUUCCUGAAGGUAUUAGGUUCUGGGGCUAGGGUAAGGUUUAAGGUUUUUGGCAUUAUGGUUAAAAUCACUGUCCAAAACCUUUGUAGGAACUCUUUUCCAACCUUUUGGAGUUAGUUAGACCCGAAAGAAAUGAAAAAUGAAAAAAAAAUAUUUGGGGUGUUCGGGCUUUCUGAAGGUAAUACCCUGCUAUAAGGUUUUGGGACUAAUGUAAGGUUUAAGGUUUUUGGCGUUAGGGUUAAAAUCACUGUCCAAAACCUUUGUAGGAACUCUUUUCCAACCUUUUGGAGUUAGUUAGACCAAAAUAAAACAAAAAAUGAAAAAAAAAUAUUUGGGGUGUUCAGGCUUCCUGAAGGUAAUACCCGGGUAUUAGGUUAUGGGGCUAGGGUAAGGUUUUUGGCGUUAGGGUUAAAAUUACUGUCCAAAACCUUUGUAGGAACUCUUUUCCAACCUUUUGGAGUUAGUUACACCCGAAAGAAAUGAAAAAUGAAAAAAAAAUAUUUGGGGUUUUCUGGCUUUCUGAAGGUAAUACCCGGGUUUUAGGUUACGGGGCUAGGGUAAGGUUUAAGGUUUUUGGCUUUAGGGUUAAAAUCCCUGUCCAAAACCUUUGUAGGAACUCUUUUCCAACCUUUUGGAGUUAGUUAGACCAAAAUAAAACAAAAAAUGAAAAAAAAAUAUUUGGGGUGUUCAGGCUUCCUGAAGGUAAUACCCGGGUAUUAGGUUAUGGGGCUAGGGUAAGGUUUUUGGCGUUAGGGUUAAAAUUACUGUCCAAAACCUUUGUAGGAACUCUUUUCCAACCUUUUGGAGUUAGUUAGACCAGAAAAAAAUAAAAAAUGAAAAAGAAAUAUUUGGGGUUUUCGGGCUUUCUGAAGGUAACACCCGGGUAUUAGGUUUUGGAGCUAGGCUAAGGUUUAAGUUUUUUGGCGUUAGGGUUAAAAUCACUGUCCAAAACCUUUGUAGGAACUCCUUUCCAACCUUUUGGAGUUAGUUAAACCAAAAAAAAAAUUGUAAAAUGAAAAAGAAAUAUUUGGGGUGUAUGGGCUUCCUGAAGGUAAUACCCAGGUAUUAGGUUAUGGGGCUUUGGUAAGGUUUAAGGUUUUUGGCAUUAUGGUUAAAAUCACUGUCCAAAACCUUUGUAGGAACUCUUUUCCAACCUUUUGGAGUUAGUUAGACCUAAAAAAAACGAAAAGAGAAAAAAAAAUGUUUUGGGUGUUCGGGCUUCCUGAAGGUAAUACCCGGGUAUUAGGUUAUGGGGCUAGGGUAAGGUUUAAGGUUUUUGGCGUUAGGGUUAAAAUCACUGUCCAAAACCUUUGUAGGAACUCUUUUCCAACCUUUUGGAGUUAGUUAGACCAAAAUAAAACAAAAAAUGAAAAAAAAAUAUUUGGGGUGUUCAGGCUUCCUGAAGGUAAUACCCGGGUAUUAGGUUAUGGGGCUAGGGUAAGGUUUUUGGCGUUAGGGUUAAAAUUACUGUCCAAAACCUUUGUAGGAACUCUUUUCCAACCUUUUGGAGUUAGUUACACCAAAAAAAAAAAAAUUGUAAAAUGAAAAAGAAAUAUUUGGGGUGUUCGGGCUUCCUGAAGGUAAUACCUGGGUAUUAGGUUAUGGGGCUAGUGAAAGGUUUAGGGUUUUUGGCGUUAGGGUUAAAAUCACUGUCCAAAACCUUUGUAGGAACUCUUUUCCAACCUUUUGGAGUUAGUUAGACCAGAAAAAAAUGAAAAAUGAAAAAAAUAUAUAUUUGGGGUUUUCGGGCUCUCUGAAGGUAAUAGUAUUAGGUAAUGGGGCUGGGGUAAGGUUUAAAUGUUUUUGGAGUUAGGGUUAAAAUCACUGUCCAAAACCUUUGUAGGAACUCUUUUCCAACCUUUUGGAGUUAGUUAGACCUAAAAAAAACGAAAAAUGAAAAAAAAAUGUUUGGGGUGUUCGGGCUUCCUGAAGGUAAUACCCGGGUAUUAGGUUAUGGGGCUAGGGUAAGAUUUAAGGUUUUUGGCGUUAGGGUUAAAAUCACUGUCCAAAACCUUUGUAGGAACUCUUUUCCAACCUUUUGGAGUUAGUUAGACCCAAAAAAAAUUAAAAAUGAAAAACAAAAUAUUUGGGGUUUUGGGCUUCCUGAAGGUAAUACCCGGGUAUUAGGUUUUGGGGCUAGGGUAAGGUUUAAGGUUUUUGGCGUUAGGGUUAAAAUCACUGUCCAAAACCUUUGUAGGAACUCUUUUCCAACGUUUUGGAGUUAGUUAGACCAAAAUAAAACAAAAAAUGAAAAAAAAAUAUUUGGGGUGUUCGGUCUUCCUGAAGGUAAUACCCGGGUAUUAGGUUAUGGGGCUAGGGUAAGGUUUCUGGCGUUAGGGUUAAAAUCACUGUCCAAAACCUUUGUAGGAACUCUUUUCCAACCUUUUGGAGUUAGUUACACCAAAAAAAAAAUUGUAAAAUGAAAAAGAAAUAUUUGGGGUGUUCGGGCUUCCUGAAGGUAAUACCCGGGUAUUAGGUUAUGGGGCUAGUGAAAGGUUUCAGGUUUUUGGCGUUAGGGUUAAAAUCACUGUCCAAAACCUUUGUAGGAACUCUUUUCCAACCUUUUGGAGUUAGUUAGACCAGAAAAAAAUAAAAAAUGAAAAAGAAAUAUUUGGGGUUUUCGGGCUUUCUGAAGGUAACACCCGGGUGUUAGGUUUUGGAGCUAGGCUAAGGUUUAAUUUUUUUGGCGUUAGGGUUAAAAUCACUGUCCAAAACCUUUGUAGGAACUCCUUUCCAACCUUUUGGAGUUAGUUAAACCAAAAAAAAAAAUGUAAAAUGAAAAAGAAAUAUUUGGGGUGUAUGGGCUUCCUGAAGGUAAUACCCAGGUAUUAGGUUAUGGGGCUUUGGUAAGGUUUAAGGUUUUUGGCAUUAUGGUUAAAAUCACUGUCCAAAACCUUUGUAGGAACUCUUUUCCAACCUUUUGGAGUUAGUUAGACCUAAAAAAAAAUGAAAAAUGAAAAAAAAAUGUUUGGGGUGUUCGGGCUUCCUGAAGGUAAUACCCGGGUAUUAGGUUAUGGGGCUUUGGUAAGGUUUAAGGUUUUUGGCAUUAUGGUUAAAAUCACUGUCCAAAACCUUUGUAGGAACUCUUUUCCAACCUUUUGGAGUUAGUUAGACCUAAAAAAAACGAAAAAUUAAAAAAAAAAUGUUUGGGGUGUUCGGGCUUUCUGAAGGUAAUACCCGAGUAUUAGGUUACGGGGCUAGGGUAAGGUUUAAGGUUUUUGGCGUUAGGGUUAAAAUCCCUGUCCAAAACCUUUGUGGGAACUCUUUUCCAACCUUUUGGAGUUAGUUAGACCAAAAUAAAACAAAAAGUGAAAAAAAAAUAUUUGGGGUGUUCGGUCUUCCUGAAGGUAAUACCCGGGUAUUAGGCUAUGGGGCUAGGGUAAGGUUUUUGGCGUUAGGGUUAAAAUCACUGUCCAAAACCUUUGUAGGAACUCUUUUCCAACCUUUUGGAGUUAGUUACACCAAAAAAAAAAUUGUAAAAUGAAAAAGAAAUAUUUGGGGUGUUUGGGCUUCCUGAAGGUAAUACUCGGGUAUUAGGUUAUGGGGCUAGUAAAAGGUUUCAGGUUUUUGGCGUAAGGGUUAAAAUCACUGUCCAAAACCUUUGUAGGAACUCUUUUCCAACCUUUUGGAGUUAGUUAGACCAAAAUAAAACAAAAACUGAAAAAAAAAUAUUUGGGGUGUUCGGUCUUCCUGAAGGUAAUACCCGGGUAUUAGGUUAUGGGGCUAGGGUAAGGUUUUUGGCUUUAGGGUUCAAAUCACUGUCCAAAACCUUUGUAGGAACUAUUUUCCAACCUUUUGGAGUUAGUUAGACCAGAAAAAAAUAAAAAAUGAAAAAGAAAUAUUUGGGGUUUUCGGGCUUUCUGAAGGUAACACCCGGGUAUUAGGUUUUGGAGCUAGGGUAAGGUUUAAGUUUUUUGGCGCUAGGGUUAAAAUCACUGUCCAAAACCUUUGUAGGAACUCCUUUCCAACCUUUUGGAGUUAGUUAAACCAAAAAAAAAAUUGUAAAAUGAAAAAGAAAUAUUUGGGGUGUUCGGGCUUCCUGAAGGUAAUACCCAGGUAUAAGGUUAUGGGGCUUUGGUAAGGUUUAAGGUUUUUGGCAUUAUGGUUAAAAUCACUGUCCAAAACCUUUGUAGGAACUAUUUUCCAACCUUUUGGAGUUAGUUAGACCUAAAAAAAACGAAAAAUGAAAAAAAAAUGUUUGGGGUGUUCGGGCUUCCUGAAGGUAAUACUCGGGUAUUAGGUUAUGGGGCUAGUGAAAGGUUUAGGGUUUUUGGCGUUAGGGUUAAAAUCACUGUCCAAAACCUUUGUAGGAACUCUUUUCCAACCUUUUGGAGUUAGUUAGACCAGAAAAAAAUGAAAAAUGAAAAAAAAAAUAUUUGGGGUUUUCGGGCUCUCUGAUGGUAAUACCCGGGUAUUAGGUAAUGGGGCUAGGGUAAGGUUUAAAUGUUUUUGGAGUUAGGGUUAAAAUCACUGUCCAAAACCUUUGUAGGAACUCUUUUCCAACCUUUUGGAGUUAGUUAGACCGAAAAGAAAUCAAAAAUAAAAAAACAUAUUUGGGGUGUUCGGGCUUCCUGAAGGUAAUACCCAGGUAUCAGGGUAAUCAGGCUAGGGUCAGGUUUAAGGUUUUUGGCGUUAGGGUUAAAAUCACUGUCCAAAACCUUUGUAGGAACUCCUUUCCAACCUUUUGGAGUUAGUUAAACCAAAAAAAAAAUUGUAAAAUGAAAAAGAAAUAUUUGGGGUGUUCGGGCUUCCUGAAGGUAAUAGCCAGGUAUUAGGUUAUGGGGCUUUGGUAAGGUUUAAGGUUUUUGGCAUUAUGGUUAAAAUCACUGUCCAAAACCUUUGUAGGAACUCUUUUCCAACAUUUUGGAGUUAGUUAGACCGGAAAGAAAUGAAAAAUGAAAAAAAAAUAUUUGGGGUUUUCGGGCUUUCUGAAGGUAAUACCCGAGUAUUAGGUUACGGGGCUAGGGUAAGGUUUAAGGUUUUUGGCGUAAGGGUUAAAAUCACUGUCCAAAACCUUUGUAGGAACUCUUUUCCAACCUUUUGGAGUUAGUUAGAUCAGAAAAAAAACUGAAAAAUGAAAAAAAAUAUAUUUGGGGUUUUCGGGCUUUCUGAAGGUAACACCCGGGUAUUAGGUUUUGGGGCUAGGGUAAGGUUUAAGGUUUUUGGCGUUAGGGUUAAAAUCACUGUCCAAAACCUUUGUAGGAACUCCUUUCCAACCUUUUGGAGUUAGUUAAACCAAAAAAAAAAUUGUAAAAUGAAAAAGAAAUAUUUGGGGUGUUCGGGCUUCCUGAAGGUAAUACCCAGGUAUUAGGUUAUGGGGCUUUGGUAAGGUUUAAGGUUUUUGGCAUUAUGGUUAAAAUCACUGUCCAAAACCUUUGUAGGAACUCUUUUCCAACCUUUUGGAGUUAGUUAGACCUAAAAAAAAUGAAAAAUGAAAAAAAAAUGUUUGGGGUGUUCGGGCUUCCUGAAGGUAAUAUUAGGUUAUGGGGCUAGGGUAAGGUUUAAGGUUUUUGGCGUUAGGGUUAAAAUCACUGUCCAAAACCUUUGUAGGAACUCUUUUCCAACGUUUUGGAGUUAGUUAGACCGGAAAGAAAUGAAAAAUGAAAAAAAAAUAUUUGGGGUUUUCGGGCUUUCUGAAGGUAAUACCCGGGUAUUAGGUUACGGGGCUAGGGUAAGGUUUAAGGUUUUUGGCGUUAGGGUUAAAAUCCCUGUCCAAAACCUUUGUAGGAACUCUUUUCCAACCUUUUGGAGUUAGUUAGACCAAAAUAAAACAAAAAAUGAAAAAAAAAUAUUUGGGAUGUUCGGUCUUCCUGAAGGUAAUACCCGGGUAUUAGGUUAAGGGGCUAGUGAAAGGUUUCAGGUUUUUGGCGUAAGGGUUAAAAUCACUGUCCAAAACCUUUGUAGGAACUCUUUUCCAACCUUUUGGAGUUAGUUAGAUCAGAAAAAAAAUGAAAAAUGAAAAAAAAAUAUUUGGGGUUUUCGGGCUUUCUGAAGGUAACACCCGGGUAUUAGGUUUUGGGGCUAGGGUAAGGUUUAAGUUUUUUGGCGUUAGGGUUAAAAUCACUGUCCGAAACCUUUGUAGGAACUCCUUUCCAACCUUUUGGAGUUAGUUAAACCAGAAAAAAUUUUUAAAAUGAAAAAGAAAUAUUUGGGGUGUUCGGGCUUCCUGAAGGUAAUACCCAGGUAUUAGGUUAUGGUGCUUUGGUAAGGUUUAAGGUUUUUGGCAUUAUGGUUAAAAUCACUGUCCAAAACCUUUGUAGGAACUCUUUUCCAACCUUUUGGAGUUAGUUAGACCUAAAAAAAACGAAAAAUGAAAAAAAAAAUGUUUGGGGUGUUCGGGCUUCCUGAAGGUAAUACCCGGGUAUUAGGUUAUGGGGCUAGGGUAAGGUUUAAGGUUUUUGGCGUUAGGGUUAAAAUCACUGUCCAAAACCUUUGUAGGAACUCUUUUCCAACCUUUUGGAGUUAGUUAGACCGGAAAGAAAUGAAAAAUGAAAAAAAAAUAUUUGGGGUUUUCGGGCUUUCUGAAGGUAAUACCCGAGUAUUAGGUUAGGGGGCUAGGGUAAGGUUUUUGGCGUUAGGGUUAAAAUCACUGUCCAAAACCUUUGUAGGAACUUUUUUCCAACCUUUUGGAGUUAGUUAGACCUAAAAAAAACGAAAAAUGAAAAAAAAAUGUUUGGGGUGUUCGGGCUUCCUGAAGGUAAUACCCGGGUAUUAGGUUAUGGGGCUAGGGUAAGGUUUAAGGUUUUUGGCGUUAGGGUUAAAAUCCCUGUCCAAAAUCUUUGUAGGAACUCUUUUCCAACCUUUUAGAGUUAGUUAGACCUAAAAAAAACGAAAAAUGAAAAAAAAAUGUUUGGGGUGUUCGGGCUUCCUGAAGGUAAUACCCGGGUAUUAGGUUUUGGGGCUAGGGUAAGGUUUUUGGCGUUAGGGUUAAAAUCACUGUCCACAACCUUUGUAGGAAAAAGUUUCCAACCUUUUGGAGUUAGUUAAACCAAAAAAAAAAAGAAAAAGGAACAAGAAAUAUUUGGGGUGUUCGGUCUUCCUGAAGGUAAUACCCGGGUAUUAGGUUAUGGGGCUAGGGUAAGGUUUAAAUGUUUUUGGAGUUAGGGUUAAAAUCACUGUCCAAAACCUUUGUAGGAACUCUUUUCCAACCUUUUGGAGUUAGUUAGACCGAAAAGAAAUCAAAAAUAAAAAAACAUAUUUGGGGUGUUCGGGCUUCCUGAAGGUAAUACCCAGGUAUCAGGGUAAUCAGGCUAGGGUCAGGUUUAAGGUUUUUGGCGUUAGGGUUAAAAUCCCUGUCCAAAACCUUUGUAGGAACUCUUUUCCAACCUUUUGGAGUUAGUUCGACCAAAAUAAAACAAAAAAUAAAAAAAAAAUAUUUGGGGUGUUCGGUCUUCCUGAAGGUAAUACCCAGGUAUCAGGGUAAUCAGGCUAGGGUCAGGUUUAAGGUUUUUGGCGUUAGGUUUAAAAUCACUGUCCAAAACCUUUGGAGGAACUCUUUUCCAACCUUUUGGAGUUAGUUACACCAAAAAAAAAAUUGUAAAAUGAAAAAGAAAUAUUUGGGGUGUUCUGGCUUCCUGAAGGUAAUACCCGGGUAUUAGGUUUUGGGGCUAGGGUAAGGUUUAAGUUUUUUGGCGUUAGGGUUAAAAUCACUGUCCAAAACCUUUGUAGGAACUUCUUUCCAACCUUUUGGAGUUAGUUAAACCAAAAAAAAAAUUGUAAAAUGAAAAAGAAAUAUUUGGGGUGUUCGGGCUUCCUGAAGGUAAUACCCAGGUAUUAGGUUAUGGGGCUUUGGUAAGGUUUAAGGUUUUUGGCAUUAUGGUUAAAAUCACUGUCCAAAACCUUUGUAGGAACUCUUUUCCAACCUUUUGGAGUUAGUUAGACCUACAAAAAAACGAAAAAUGAAAAAAAAAAAUGUUUGGGGUGAUCGGGCUUCUUGAAGGUAAUACCCGGGUAUUAGGUUAUGGGGCUAGUGUAAGGUUUAAGGUUUUUGGCGUUAGGGUUAAAAUCACUGUCCAAAACCUUUGUAGGAACUCUUUUCCAACGUUUUGGAGUUAGUUAGACCAAAAUAAAACAAAAAAUGAAAAAAAAAUAUUUGGGGUGUUCGGUCUUCCUGAAGGUAAUACCCGGGUAUUAGGUUAUGGGGCUAGGGUAAGGUUUUUGGCGUUAGGGUUCAAAUUACUGUCCAAAACCUUUGUAGGAACUCUUUUCCAACCUUUUGGAGUUAGUUACACCAAAAAAAAUUGUAAAAUGAAAAAGAAAUAUUUGGGGUGUUCGGGCUUCCUGAAGGUAAUACCCGGGUAUUAGGUUAUGGGGCUAGUGAAAGGUUUAAGGAUUUUGGCGUUAGGGUUAAAAUCACUGUCCAAAACCUUUGUAGGAACUCUUUUCCAACCUUUUGGAGUUAGUUAGACCAGAAAAAAAUGAAAAAUGAAAAAAAAAAUAUUUGGGGUUUUCGGGCUUUCUGAAGGUAACACCCGGGUAUUAGGUUAUGGGGCUAGUGAAAGGUUUCAGGUUUUUGGCAUAAGGGUUAAAAUCACUGUCCAAAACCUUUGUAGGAACUCUUUUCCAACCUUUUGGAGUUAGACCCGAAAAAAAAUGAAAAAUGAAAAAAAAAAUAUUUGGGGUUUUCGGGCUUUCUGAAGGUAACACCCGGGUAUUAGGUUUUGGGGCUAGGGUAAGGUUUAAGUUUUUGGCGUUAGGGUUAAAAUCACUGUCCAAAACCUUUGUAGGAACUUCUUUCCAACCUUUUGGAGUUAGUUAAACCAAAAAAAAAAAUUGUAAAAUGAAAAAAAAAUAUUUGGGGUGUUCGGGCUUCCUGAAGGUAAUACCCAGGUAUUAGGUUAUGGGGCUUUGGUAAGGUUUAAGGUUUUUGGCAUUAUGGUUAAAAUCACUGUCCAAAACCUUUGUAGGAACUCUUUUCCAACCUUUUGGAGUUAGUUAGACCUAAAAAAAACGAAAAAUGAAAAAAAAAUGUUUGGGGUGAUCGGGCUUCCUGAAGGUAACACCCGGGUAUUAGGUUAUGGGGCUAGGGUAAGGUUUAAGGUUUUUGGCGUAAGGGUUAAAAUCACUGUCCACAACCUUUGUAGGAAAAAGUUUCAGACCUUUUGGAGUUAGUUACAACAACAAAAAAAAAGUAAAAUGAAAAAAAAAUAUUUGGGGUGUUCGGGCUUCCUGAAGGUAAUACCCAGGUAUUAGGUUAUGGGGCUUUGGAAAGGUUUAAGGUUUUUGGUGUCAGGGUUAAAAUCACUGUCCAAAACCUUUGUAGGAACUCUUUUCCAACCUUUUGGAGUUAGUUAGACCAAAAAUAAAUAAAUUACAAAAAAAAAAUGUUUGGGGUUUUCGGGCUUCCUGAAGGUAACACCCGGGUAUUAGGUAAUGGGGCUAGGGUAAGGUUUUUGGCGUUAGGGUUAAAAUCACUGUCCAAAACCUUUGUAGGAACUCUUUUCCAACCUUUUGGAGUUAGUUAGACCUAAAAAAAAACGAAAAAUAAAAAAAAAAUGUUUGGGGUGUUCGGGCUUCCUGAAGGUAAUACCCGGGUAUCAGGUUAUGGGGCUAGGGUAAGGUUUAAGGUUUUUGGCGUUAGGGUUCAAAUCACUGUCCAAAACCUUUGUAGGAACUCUUUUCCAACCUUUUGGAGUUAGUUAGACCUAAAAAAAAACGAAAAAUAAAAAAAAAAUGUUUGGGGUGUUCGGGCUUCCUGAAGGUAAUACCCGGGUAUCAGGUUAUGGGGCUAGGGUAAGGUUUAAGGUUUUUGGCGUUAGGGUUAAAAUCACUGUCCACAACCUUUGUAGGAAAAAGUUUCAGACCUUUUGGAGUUAGUUACAACAACAACAAAAAAAGUACUAGGACCCCGUUGGGGCACUGGCGGGCCCGAGCUGUGUCGCGUCCCCCCCCCAACGCGCUGCCUCCCCGUCCCAUUUGUGUCCUCUGGCCAUCGCCCUCUUUGGUAACGCCCAUCACUGCAAAGACCCUUUUCCUUCAUCGGCGUUUGCUGUUCUUCCUGCCAGUGCGUGUUGCUUUCACUUACACUUGCCACAGCCAGCCUCGUGAGUGCCUAGCCUAUUGGAUAUCACUGUCACCUACACAGGACAGUCAUUACCUUUCUAUUAAUACUUUGUUUUUUAAUUUCACAUUAAUUUCCAAAUUGUAUAAACGACUGGAAAAAACUUGAGCCCCUGCCCCUGUAUAAUCAUGUGCACGUCUCUGUUCUAGCUCUAAGGUAAAUCUUCACUGCUCAUGUUCUCCUCAGAAGCAGUCACCUCACUCCCCUCAGGUUACUGUACACAUGCACCAACUGCCUGCUUCAGGUUUGGAUGGAGCUUCAUGGUUGUCUUUUGGAGAAAUGACCAGUCAAGUUGUGUUUGAAAUUUGAUUUUUUUCAGGGGCAAAAGGAGCCUCUGCAUUCUUGUCAAAUAUGUAAAUAGCAUGUUUUUGCAGGUGCUACAAACCAGACUCUGAGUGUGUGUGUGUGCGUGUGUGUGUGUGUCUGUGUGUGUGUGUGUGUGUGUGCGUUCAAGUCACAUGACAUAUUUAACCGGAUGUAGCUGCAAGACGGAGCCUCGUUGACUCUCCGUUUCAAUUUAUCUCAAAAGUGAGGACCUCAACCUAUAUACCAGUUUUUAAAUUGUGUUGAUAGGCCAAAUAAAACCAGAGUUAUGAUAAAUUAUGUCCGCGAUACUUGUUUUCUGCUUAUUUUGAUCACGUUCGGCGCUCGAUCGCGCUGUAUGAGACAGGAAAACAUAGCAUGCAGACAUUAGCGACAGGUCUUACAGGCGGAAAAGGCUUGCCAAAGGAAAAAAAAUACACACCACAACAUCUCUCCUAUUGGUGGAAAACUUCACCACAACAACCAAUCCAAAAUUAUAUGGUGACUGAUUGACAAGGGGCGGGAACUUACGUUCUUCCUGCAAUAUGAGAAGGGAGGGAGGGACUCUCAGCAGGGAUGCAGUCUGGGACACGUAGUUGCAAACCUAGCGACUUUGUUGUUAGAUUCAAUGACUUUUCAGACCCCCUAACGACUUUUUUUUAGAAAGAAAGUGACUUUUAUCGACUUCUUCUGGAGUUUAGAGACUCUGACAUGAAGCAGGCUUUCCUUACUGAGGAGUUAGCAACGCUGCUAAGGGUGCAGAGCCACACAUGCGCUCCGAGCUCUGCAUGGGAGACUGAAGCUGACAGAGCUGCAGCAGUUAGCAGGUUUCACCCUCAGAGACCACCAGGGGUUCAUGUUGAGGCAUUUUCAGUUUUUUUUUUUUUUUUUUUGCCAUAGACACUGUCAGCACAAUCUGCAGUUACACUAACAAAAAUGCUGCAAAAAACAAAGAAUUAUGGAAAAAUUACACAUGGACUAACAUAGAGGAGGAUCUACACAAGUUUUUUACAUCAUGUUUUACAUCAUGCAUCAUUUACAUCAUGUUUUUUUGUAGUGGCAUAAAUAAAAAGUGACAUUUGUGAGACUAUACAGUGUUUUGUAAAUAAUUUUACAAAGAACACCUGGGCCAUUGCCUGCAUUUUGAUGUCAAUAGAGGUAAAUUACUAUGUUCUUUGUUAAAAAUUUGCAUAUGUUUUGAAGUUUACAAUUUUUAUUUGAAGUUUAAGUUUUAAAAACAGUUCAUCACACAUAUUUGUGGUUUUCACAGUAAAAACGUUACUUUUUUCCACUCGGAUUUUAUGUUUUGUGUGUGAAUUUGGGUCCAAUGUGUAAAUAUAGUAUGUCAAAAUGAUAAAAUAACUGUAAAUUGACACAGGUGAGGUUGUGCUGAAAAAAAUGAUACCAGGCAAGGCAAGGUAAAAAUUUUGUAAGAGGAAAUAUAAAGGUAAAAUCUAAAGUAGUCAAAAACGGCCAAAAGUGACUCACAGACUCCACAGACAAGUCCCUCUGGCGCCACUCAGUGGGCAAAACUACUUUGUCUACUGUAAUGUAUAUUUGGGUCAUCUUUGGCGCCCCCUAAAACGUAAACCGUGGGGUGCAGCGUCAUGAUUUUUACAACUUUGAAUGGCCAUGGAGUGUAGAUUGGCCUGAGCAAAUUUGGUGUCAGUGGGACGAAAGCCUUAGGAGGAGUUAGCGAAAUUCCAAUGUGUGCGAAUCGGCAAAAAAUGCAAAAUAGCCCUUUUACCGUACAUUAUACAGAUACGCGCUCUUUGACUUUUUCGUAGAUCUAAUUGAGAUACACAUGAUUGUCAAUUUUUGUGUCAUUUUGCCAAAGCGUACAGGCGUGACAGUCAACAAUGUGUAUUUUCACCUUAGGGGACAAGAAAAAAUGGACUUUUUUCUCCUGCCAUGGGGGGGCGCUCUUUUGGGGAGUAAAAAUUCCUUCACAAAUGUGUUGAUGGCUGGACAUUACAUCAUCCUAGAAAACUUGGAGGCCAGUGAGGACAAAAAUAAAAAGUUAUAAGACUUUUAAAAAUGUGGAUUUUUGGGUUAUCUUUGGCGCCCCCUAGAACGUAAACCGUGGGGUGCAGCGUCAUGAUUUGAAUAACUUUUAAUGGCCAUGGGGUGUAGAUUGGCCUGAGCAAAUGUGGUGCCGGUGGAACGAAAGCCUUCGGAGGAGUUAGCGAAAUUCCAAUGUGUGCGGAUCGGCAAAAAAUGCGAAAUAACCCUUUAACCGUACAUUAGACAGAUACGCGCGCAUGGACUUUUUUGUAGAUCUUAUUGAGAUACAUGUGUGUGUCAAUUUUUGUGUCAUUUUGACAAAGCGUACAGGCGUGACAGUCAAUAGUGUGAAUUUUCACCUUAGGGGACAAGAAAAAAUGGACUUUUUUCUCCUGCCAUGGGGGGGCACUCUUUUGGGGAGUAAAAAUUCCUUCACAAAUGUGUUGAUGGCUGGACAUUGCAUCAUCCUAGAAAACUUGGAGGCCAGUGAGGGCAAAAAUAAAAAGUUAUAAGACUUUUAAAUAUGUGGAUUUUAGGGUUAUCUUUGGCGCCCCCUAGAACCUAAACCGUGGGGUGCAGCGUCAUGAUUUGAAUAACUUUUAAUGGCCAUGGGGUGUAGAUUGGCCUGAGCAAAUGUGGUGCCGGUGGAACGAAAGCCUUCGGAGGAGUUAGCGAAAUUCCAAUGUGUGCGGAUCGGAAAAAAUGCGAAAUAACCCUUUAACCGUACAUUUGACAGAUACGCCCGCACUGACUUUUUUGUAGAUCUUAUUGAGAUACAUGUGUGUGUCAAUUUUUGUGUCAUUUUGACAAAGCGUACAGGCGUGACAGUCAAUAGUGUGAAUUUUCACCUUAGGGGGCGCUAUGGAGCCAUUUUGCAUUUUCUUAUUUGGGCGACUUCGGAAUAUCAAAUUUUUCACCAGGCCCGGUCGUCCUGCCAAAUUUCAUGAGUUUUCGCCAGUGGGAAGUGGGCCAUUUUCCAGUUCAAAGGGGAGGAAAAAGAAGAAAGAAAGAAACAAAGAAAAACCACUUGGGGAAUAAUAGGGCUCUCGCAGCUGCUUAGCAGCUACGCUCGGGCCCUAAGAAAGAAAGAAACAAAGACUAGGGCCCCGGUGGGGCACUGUCGGGCCCGAGCCGCGUCGAGCCGCCCCCAGCGCGACCGCCUCCCCCUCCCGAUCGCGUCACACUCAAGGUC
rnacentral:lncRNA from 1 species